GAGUAUUUCCGUAUUCCUCUGUCUUAUUUGAGAUCAGUGCUCAGUGCAGCAGACAGCAUUAUCGUGAGGGAGAUCCUGCUGUACUAUAACAGGAACUAUGCCACUUUGCAGCUAACAGAUGAUUACCUGCACACUAUGGUGUCUGUGCUCUUCCAAAUUCACUUGGCCAGGGAUAUAAACCUGUUUUCUGAAAUGGGUCUUUUGUUGGCACUAGCUACACCUUCAGACAUCUUGUCAAUGCCUCCGCUACAAAAUAAUAAAAAUGCGUUAAGUAUCAUUAACUUCAGCAUAAAAAACCUUUCCCUGGAGCAGCAGCAAGCGUUUGGUCGAUGGUUCGGUCAGUCCAUGAGCUUGCCUAACAUGACAGCCGGCAGCUUAUCCUUUAUCAGAGACACCGGUAACCUGAUCACCUAUUUGCCCUUCCAGAGCUUCCAGUUCCUCUCACCUGCUCAGGUAACAGCCCCAACACCUCACCAAGGUACCUGAACCCAUCUGG